GACGAACGCUGGCGGCGUGCUUAAUACAUGCAAGUCGAACGGAAAGGCCCUGCUUUUGUGGGGUGCUCGAGUGGCGAACGGGUGAGUAACACGUGAGUAACCUGCCCUUGACUUUGGGAUAACUUCAGGAAACUGGGGCUAAUACCGGAUAGGAGCUCCUGCUGCAUGGUGGGGGUUGGAAAGUUUCGGCGGUUGGGGAUGGACUCGCGGCUUAUCAGCUUGUUGGUGGGGUAGUGGCUUACCAAGGCUUUGACGGGUAGCCGGCCUGAGAGGGUGACCGGCCACAUUGGGACUGAGAUACGGCCCAGACUCCUACGGGAGGCAGCAGUGGGGAAUAUUGCACAAUGGGCGGAGGCCUGAUGCAGCAACGCCGCGUGCGGGAUGACGGCCUUCGGGUUGUAAACCGCUUUCGCCUGUGACGAAGCGUGAGUGACGGUAAUGGGUAAAGAAGCACCGGCUAACUACGUG
rnacentral:rRNA from 1 species